ACAGGCUUGUCUGAUAAUUUUGUAACAUUUUAAUGACUUUCUUUAGAAUUCCAGAAUUAAAAUUUAAAAAGUGCCACCUGAGUAAGUGACUGCUGCUUUUCUCAUGAGUUUAUUAGAGUGAGUUGAUAGCCCCACUGGGGGCUGUGUCUUUUCCUUUGACCUAGUGAUAAAGCAACCAGGGAGGGCGGGAGGGUCUGAAAUGUGAGUACGUCACUGGGCUUUCUCUUGCAGAGGUAACCUUUGAAGGAUAAAGGUAAAUCUGGUUUUGAUCCAUGACACUUACCCUUUGUUGAGUCCCUUCAUUCUGGAGUAUAUUGGUAAAUUUCAAAUUUUUUAUCAGCACACCUGGAGAAGAAUGUACAAAGCAUUCAUAGAAUGGGAAUCAGAACAGAUACCUUGAAAUGGCUUAGAUUGGGAACACACCUUGGAUAAGCAAGACAGUUAGGUCCUAGUUGAAACUGGGAGAAAAAUCAUGCUAGGAGAAAUGUUUUGACUUUGCUGCUAAGAGAACAGAAAUCUCUCACAUGUCACCAGCAUGCUUAGCAUAUAUAGUCCUGCUGGUGAGCAGGUCCAUCACACACACACCAUGAUUUUUCAUGGUUGUAUAGCCAAAUAAUAUAAAAGGCAUUUUUAAAAGUAUUAAACUUCUUAAUAUAUUUAAUAUUAAUAGUCUUCUUGUCAUUGCUGUCUUUAUUAAGAUCUAAUUUCCUGGCCAUCUUUUUUUUAAUCCCUAUUGUUUUUAAUUAUACCAUCUUUUCCCCUUCUGUUCAUAUAACUAGAACAUUGAAAUUAAUACAUGUUGUUAGCAAUUCUUCCUGUAAAAAUGAAAACGUAUCUGGUAUAUAGUUGAUGCUCAAGAAACAUUUGUGAAGAUAAAAGUAAAUGAAUAAUUGAUGCACAAUGCCAUCUACAUUUUUGGAGGCCUUAAGGAGCACAUAAUUUUUUUUUUUAAUAGUAAGUGCUUGGGAAACAUUAAUCUUCACUGUGUCAUCAAUUUUCUGUUGUCCCACAUUUUGUUUUAUCUAGCCUUCUCUGCCCAGGAUAGUCAUGGGUGCUCAGGUGUGCAUGCAUACACAUGCACAUCCUGAAGUGCAAACAGUUUAGAGUACAGAAGGGCACUGAUUCCCCCUUGCCAUCCAUGCUGCAGGUAAUCUAUUGCAUUAAUCACGCAGCCUGUGGGAAAUGCUUGGGGAGUGAUUAUACUAUCAUAUACAAUACAAUCAGCAUGAAGCACUUGUCAAGACCAAUACAUCAAAGUUUAAUUCAGUAAUAGAAUGAAUUAGAGCAAAAUGAAACGUUCUGCUCUCUAGGAGCCCAUCACCCACCAUAAGUUCUUUUUGCACUACACAGAAAAGUCAGUGCAUUCUGAAAUUGUUUAUGAACAAAUUGACUUUCCAAUGAGACAAUUACAAGAACCUUCUUUCUUUGGUAUCGCACACAAGUGUAGGACUAAAGUGUUUACUUGACCAUCCAUACUCUAGAAUGAUCAGCACUGGCAAGUUUGCUCACUUUUUAGUACAGCUUUUGAUAGAUCUCUAUCCCAAUCGGUUCUCAAUACCCAGUAAAAGUAAGAUGAUUUUUACCAGUAGUUCAGAGGUAUAUACACUUCACCAUAAAUCUGGGUAACUGCUUUGCCAGAGGAAGAGCAGACAGAUUAACAGGAACCUACUUUUGUGUCCUGCAGGCACCGUGUACUAUAGUUGUGUCUGUGUACUGCAGUUGGGGAGCUCCCAGCCCUUACAGGCCACUGAAUGAAUAAAUGAGAAAUAAAAGGUGGCCUACGACAACUGUAGAAGCAUUAUGUCAUGUGAAGUGUGCUGCAGAAACAAUCUGAGGAUUGAUCUCAUACAUUUCAUACAUUAAAAUGAAUUAAGUCUCUAUUAUAAGAAGUUGCUUGCCAACCGAGUCUUUUCAGAAAUAGGUUUAUAUGCAGUUGGAUUUGUGACUGUUGAAUGAACCAUGGAACUGUUUAUGAAGAUGACUCAGUCAUAUAGCCAGUGCAGGGCACAUGAAAACGUUUUUGCAGGUUCCUGAGUUCACAUUCCUUUACUUCACCUAUUGACUGGGUAUCCUGUGCCUUUCUCUCUCCUUCUCUCUGAUUUCUUUCUGUCCUCCUUUUCCUUACUUCCUCCCUUGAAAAGGAGGGGGGUGUUGAGGGUGUGGGAGAGCUGCUGCUGUGAAUCUCCUACAGAGUGAGGCUCCUAAUGAGGGCAAGCCCAAAGCACUGACAGAUCAGAUGCAGUGGGAAAGCUUGUUUAUUAGAUAAUGAGCAUGAUCCAGGAUGUCAGUUAACUCCUUUUAACUAUUUUGCUUCUUGACAAUAAAAAAGAAACAUUAAGUUGUGCCCCCUCUCCCCCCGGGAACCUGGUUAUGUGAUAACUAAGCACAUGCCAUUUAAUAGGAAUUUGGCCACGUGUAACCCGGGCAGUCUUAAAACUUGUUUCACUAUAUCCCUCAGGUCUGAUCUUGAAAUUUUUCCAGAAAUGUUUUAAUAAAUUAAAAGCUAGCAUAUCAAAUUUAAAGAAGGAUGUUUUGCCAGUUAAACUUACUUUUUAAACAUGGGGUGACUGAUAUAUUAAAACUUAAUUAUGCUGAUAAUAACACUGUCAUAAUUAGGGUCACGGUUUUCAUGUGGUCUGACCCAAGAAGUUUUGUGGCUAUAGUUUUGAUAGCACAACUAAUUAUGCCAGUGAUCUCCUAUUUGUGACUGCAAUUAGGUAUUUCAUGGCCUCCAAAUAAAUAUGAUUAGAUAAUUUGAUCAUGCAUGAAAUUUAUACUAUUAUAAUAGCUUCUGAGAACAAAAAUAAAUACUGUGAAUUAUUUCAUAAUCAUUGAACCCUUGGAAAUACUAGAAGUGAUUGCUCUACUUUGCCCACUAUUACUUGGAAAGGCUUUACUUGGUGCUGUUGUGUAGACAUUGAACUUUACAUCUAAUAGCACUCAUUUUUAUGAGUGUAGAACAAGGGAAAUGAACCUUAGACUUUUACUGUCUCUGUUAGAGACUGUAAUGUUUGUCUUACUCCUCUGCCCUGCACUUAUUUGGCCCUUUUCCCUGUUGUCAUGCACACUAUUAGCUUCCUGGAGAUUAGGGAGAAGAGCAGCAUUUAUAAAUGAUCCAAAGAUAUUCAUUCAGAAGAUGAAUAGCUUUAUUUUAAUUAAUCUAUCUCCUCCCCCCCCCAAAGCAACACCCCACAGAAAUCUGUGGCUUUUAAUCACUGAAUUUAUUUGAUAUUAACAGCAACAACAAAAUACAAGGAAAAGGAACUGUGUGUGGAGUUAGGAAAAGCAAGAAUCUGCAGCUCGUUUAUUUGCUCACAAUUCAUAGUGCCGUAUCCAGCAAUACACUCCACGAGGUAGAAAGAGUACCCAGUCAUAUGCAUUACCCCAGAAAUGCUGAUGUAGAUUUAACUCUAACAGAGCUGACCAUAGUGUUUCCAGACAAAACAGAAUUCAUUUGACUUGAAUAAUGAGUCUUAGAGUCCUAUGUUUAGCUUUUGUUUGCCUAUCUACUAUUUUAAUAACACUGAAAUUACUUGUUUUCUGUGCCUGUCAGUUCUGAAAAAAUUCAGUUCUGUGUUGUUUAAUUGGGCUUUAUUUAGAUGGACCUGGUACUUGUUGGUUGUUCUCUCAUCUAUAUUUUCUGAGUAUAUAAGAACACAGUUAAAGGGAGAGGGUGAGGGAUAGGACUAGAGAGAUGGCUUAUCAGUUUAGAGCACUAGCUGCUCUUGCCAAGGACCCAGGCUUGAUUGCUAGCACCCACACAAAAGACCACAGCCACCUAUAAUGCCUAAAGAAACUGAUACCCUCUUCUCAUCUCCACAGGGACCAGUCAUACACACACACACACACACCCCACAAACAUAAAAACAUGCAGGCAAAACAACAUUGAUACAAUAAAAAUAAAUAAACAAAAUUUUUAAAAAAGAACAGUUAAAUAAAGUUUAGGUUGUUAGCUGUAAGGAUUUCAGGAUAUUCAUAAUUUUAGUUAAUAAAAUAUUUAUACUUCUAAAAUACAAAGGAUGAAAUGAUUCUGUUAGAAGACUAAAAUCAUUAGCCUUAGAAUUUGCAUAAAUCCAAACUUGAACCUUUUAGGUGCAUAGCUGAAUUAAGGUUAAAUCACUAUCGUAUUUAACGUUUGGGGGGAACAUGAACCUUGGACAAGAUUCUUAUUCUUCCCUUUAGUAGGAUCAUUUCUUCAAACUUUAGUUUCUUUGUCUACAAGUAGUGCUUUUUGUUUGUUGUAAGGUAAUGUGAUAAUUGUAUAAAUAUUUAAAACAAGGUUAAUGUGUUAUUUAAAGCAGGGUUAAUGUGAGGUAAAGAUUCAGUAAAAUGACAGCAAUUAUUGUCAGGUAAGCAAGUAUAGAUGCCGUUCAAUCUUAGAAAUGUUAGUUGAAUUAGAUGCAACAAUCUUUGUACCCUGAAGAUACACAUUUAAAAACGUUAAAUGUAGAAUCUAAUUAGAAACCCAACAUGUGUAGCUUGGUAUUGUUAGGAUUUUCCUUGAAGGGAUAAAAAUUUGCAUACAAAGCAGCAUGUAAUGAUAACCCAGUAUGUGUGGGUACCUUCUAUUUUGUUAAGUUUAUAUAAUGACUUCUUGUUGUUUGGCUUACAGCUCUUUCAUCUGUUGAAUGAUUUAUUUGAAUUUGAUUAUUUGAGCUAAUAGUACUCACAUGUGCAAGAAUUGUUCUUGGUUGUUCUUUCAUUCAUCCUAUGUUUUGUAGGGUGUUUAAGUAGUGUCUCUGGGCCUUAUUUUAUAUGAUCAAAAUAAUACCUCAUAUGGCCAGAUGCCUCCUAGAAGAACAUAGUCUCAGCCCUGGUUGAGAGCCACUCUUCUGAAUGUUGGGUCACAUUUUAGAAAGUGACAAAAAUAGCGGUAAGAAAGGCUAAUGUCUGUGACAGAUAGAUUCAGGAAUAGGUAUUUGUUAUCCUUAAAAUUCUACUAUAAUAUACUAUUAAACCUUUUCAUAAAUAUAUUUGUUAAAUUUCAUAAAUAAAUUUGUUAUAAUUAUGUAUAAAUGUUAUCAGUAGGGUAAAUAGUAAUGAGUGCAAUGGAUCAGAAGCAGACAAGUUUGUCUUUCCACAGUGAGCUGCUGUUUUAGAUUCUGGUGGCAGGGCAGUUGAGCUGUGAGAGGAAGGUGAGGCUAAGGGUCUGGAGGAUCCCAAAUAACAAAUGGGUGAACAGAAUUCAUGGGUGGUAGGUCCAACAGCAGUGCAAGUCGGCUAAAUGCAUAGUCAGGAGUUCUCUACCUCACUGUACCUUGAGGCUCACACCAAGUCAUCACAUGAUAGACUGCACAUCUGUAUUGAUCACUUCCUUAUAGGGUCCAAGUGAGGUUACACCCUUUCCUUAGUGAUGUAUAUUUGAUGAGUUCCUGGUCCUAGUUUUCUUAAUAGGAUUUCAACACACCUUUAUACACCUAUAGUACCAAUUCACCCUGAUGUAUAGGGCAGGUACCCUUUAUACUCCUAGGAAUUCAUUGAUCAGUCUUUGCCAGUGGGUGACACCAGACGAAUGGGGGCCAUUCAUUGUCUAUCCAAUUGAAGAGGUUUUUUUCUGUCUUCAAAAUGGAGCCAAAGCUGCAUGUAAAACGGAAUUUCUCAAUUUGAGGCACAGACUGAAAAAAACAGGUUUCCACAACUUGGGGAGACUUAGAGCAGGGUACGAUCUCAGCAAUAAUAAAAAAGAAAGUCUUAUAAGUUUAAUAGUUGGUUAGCUGCCUAGAGAAUUUUGUAUUUCAGGCAAAAUCAUAGGUAGGGUUUACAAAAAAAUAAAAGCACUAAAAUUACCAUAUUUAAAAACAGAUGCUCAUCUAUGGCAAAUAAAUGGCCAAUAACUUACUUUUCCAUUUUAUAAUCCAGCAAGUUUUUAAGUACUUGGCAAUUGUGAUGAACUAAAAUUGGCCACAGGCAUCAGUAUUUCCUUUCUUGAGUCUGGGCAAAUUUUAUCAGUUGUGGCAGGUUGUGGGUCAAGACCUUAAUAAGAGUCUGGCAGUGUCCGCUUCUGUGUCUUGGAAGAAUGUUCGUGGAGUUCUGUGUGAAGUGUGGCUGUCUAACACCAUGUGAAGUCUACAGUUGGCAGAAACCUAAAUCACUGGGUGAAGCAGCAAAUGCAAAUGACAAGUAAGGUGAGGCUAUAUGAUCUCAAAGCCUGUCCCUCAUGAUGCACUUCCUGAGUGGCACCACCUGCCACCAUGCCUGCCUUUUACUACUCUGAAACUGUAUGAAAGCCAAAAUAAACUCUUUCUUCUUCAA